rnacentral:rRNA from 2 species
UUAAGCGACUAAGCGUACACGGUGGAUGCCCUGGCAGUCAGAGGCGAUGAAGGACGUGCUAAUCUGCGAUAAGCGUCGGUAAGGUGAUAUGAACCGUUAUAACCGGCGAUUUCCGAAUGGGGAAACCCAGUGUGUUUCGACACACUAUCAUUAACUGAAUCCAUAGGUUAAUGAGGCGAACCGGGGGAACUGAAACAUCUAAGUACCCCGAGGAAAAGAAAUCAACCGAGAUUCCCCCAGUAGCGGCGAGCGAACGGGGAGCAGCCCAGAGCCUGAAUCAGUGUGUGUGUUAGUGGAAGCGUCUGGAAAGGCGCGCGAUACAGGGUGACAGCCCCGUACACAAAAAUGCACAUGCUGUGAGCUCGAUGAGUAGGGCGGGACACGUGGUAUCCUGUCUGAAUAUGGGGGGACCAUCCUCCAAGGCUAAAUACUCCUGACUGACCGAUAGUGAACCAGUACCGUGAGGGAAAGGCGAAAAGAACCCCGGCGAGGGGAGUGAAAAAGAACCUGAAACCGUGUACGUACAAGCAGUGGGAGCCUCUUUUAUGGGGUGACUGCGUACCUUUUGUAUAAUGGGUCAGCGACUUAUAUUCUGUAGCAAGGUUAACCGAAUAGGGGAGCCGAAGGGAAACCGAGUCUUAACUGGGCGUUAAGUUGCAGGGUAUAGACCCGAAACCCGGUGAUCUAGCCAUGGGCAGGUUGAAGGUUGGGUAACACUAACUGGAGGACCGAACCGACUAAUGUUGAAAAAUUAGCGGAUGACUUGUGGCUGGGGGUGAAAGGCCAAUCAAACCGGGAGAUAGCUGGUUCUCCCCGAAAGCUAUUUAGGUAGCGCCUCGUGAAUUCAUCUCCGGGGGUAGAGCACUGUUUCGGCAAGGGGGUCAUCCCGACUUACCAACCCGAUGCAAACUGCGAAUACCGGAGAAUGUUAUCACGGGAGACACACGGCGGGUGCUAACGUCCGUCGUGAAGAGGGAAACAACCCAGACCGCCAGCUAAGGUCCCAAAGUCAUGGUUAAGUGGGAAACGAUGUGGGAAGGCCCAGACAGCCAGGAUGUUGGCUUAGAAGCAGCCAUCAUUUAAAGAAAGCGUAAUAGCUCACUGGUCGAGUCGGCCUGCGCGGAAGAUGUAACGGGGCUAAACCAUGCACCGAAGCUGCGGCAGCGACGCUUAUGCGUUGUUGGGUAGGGGAGCGUUCUGUAAGCCUGUGAAGGUGUGCUGUGAGGCAUGCUGGAGGUAUCAGAAGUGCGAAUGCUGACAUAAGUAACGAUAAAGCGGGUGAAAAGCCCGCUCGCCGGAAGACCAAGGGUUCCUGUCCAACGUUAAUCGGGGCAGGGUGAGUCGACCCCUAAGGCGAGGCCGAAAGGCGUAGUCGAUGGGAAACAGGUUAAUAUUCCUGUACUUGGUGUUACUGCGAAGGGGGGACGGAGAAGGCUAUGUUGGCCGGGCGACGGUUGUCCCGGUUUAAGCGUGUAGGCUGGUUUUCCAGGCAAAUCCGGAAAAUCAAGGCUGAGGCGUGAUGACGAGGCACUACGGUGCUGAAGCAACAAAUGCCCUGCUUCCAGGAAAAGCCUCUAAGCAUCAGGUAACAUCAAAUCGUACCCCAAACCGACACAGGUGGUCAGGUAGAGAAUACCAAGGCGCUUGAGAGAACUCGGGUGAAGGAACUAGGCAAAAUGGUGCCGUAACUUCGGGAGAAGGCACGCUGAUAUGUAGGUGAAGCGACUUGCUCGUGGAGCUGAAAUCAGUCGAAGAUACCAGCUGGCUGCAACUGUUUAUUAAAAACACAGCACUGUGCAAACACGAAAGUGGACGUAUACGGUGUGACGCCUGCCCGGUGCCGGAAGGUUAAUUGAUGGGGUUAGCGCAAGCGAAGCUCUUGAUCGAAGCCCCGGUAAACGGCGGCCGUAACUAUAACGGUCCUAAGGUAGCGAAAUUCCUUGUCGGGUAAGUUCCGACCUGCACGAAUGGCGUAAUGAUGGCCAGGCUGUCUCCACCCGAGACUCAGUGAAAUUGAACUCGCUGUGAAGAUGCAGUGUACCCGCGGCAAGACGGAAAGACCCCGUGAACCUUUACUAUAGCUUGACACUGAACAUUGAGCCUUGAUGUGUAGGAUAGGUGGGAGGCUUAGAAGUGUGGACGCCAGUCUGCAUGGAGCCGACCUUGAAAUACCACCCUUUAAUGUUUGAUGUUCUAACGUUGACCCGUAAUCCGGGUUGCGGACAGUGUCUGGUGGGUAGUUUGACUGGGGCGGUCUCCUCCUAAAGAGUAACGGAGGAGCACGAAGGUUGGCUAAUCCUGGUCGGACAUCAGGAGGUUAGUGCAAUGGCAUAAGCCAGCUUGACUGCGAGCGUGACGGCGCGAGCAGGUGCGAAAGCAGGUCAUAGUGAUCCGGUGGUUCUGAAUGGAAGGGCCAUCGCUCAACGGAUAAAAGGUACUCCGGGGAUAACAGGCUGAUACCGCCCAAGAGUUCAUAUCGACGGCGGUGUUUGGCACCUCGAUGUCGGCUCAUCACAUCCUGGGGCUGAAGUAGGUCCCAAGGGUAUGGCUGUUCGCCAUUUAAAGUGGUACGCGAGCUGGGUUUAGAACGUCGUGAGACAGUUCGGUCCCUAUCUGCCGUGGGCGCUGGAGAACUGAGGGGGGCUGCUCCUAGUACGAGAGGACCGGAGUGGACGCAUCACUGGUGUUCGGGUUGUCAUGCCAAUGGCACUGCCCGGUAGCUAAAUGCGGAAGAGAUAAGUGCUGAAAGCAUCUAAGCACGAAACUUGCCCCGAGAUGAGUUCUCCCUGACUCCUUGAGAGUCCUGAAGGAACGUUGAAGACGACGACGUUGAUAGGCCGGGUGUGUAAGCGCAGCGAUGCGUUGAGCUAACCGGUACUAAUGAACCGUGAGGCUUAACCUU